UCCCUAUGAAGAAGCAAUCCCUUAUUGAUAGGAAGUGCCGUAUGACACUUCAAACAGCGGCGGGGCG